rnacentral:rRNA from 1 species
AUUGAACGCUGGCGGCAGGCCUAACACAUGCAAGUCGAGCGGAGCGGCGGACGGGUGAGUCAUGCCUAGGAAUCUGCCUGGUAGUGGGGGAUAACGUCCGGCAACGGGCGCUAAUACCGCAUACUAUCAGAUGAGCCUAGGUCGGAUUAGCUAGAUCGUGGGGUAACGGCCUACCAAGGCGACGAUCCGUAACUGGUCUGAGCGGAUGAUCAGUCACACUGGAACUGAGACACGGUCCAGACUCCUACGGGAGGCAGCAGUGGGGAAUAUUGGACAAUGGGCGAAAGCCUGAUCCAGCCAUGCCGCGUGGGGGAAGAAGUUCUUCGGAUUGUAAAGCACUUUAAGUUGGGAGGCGUUACCAACAGAAUAAGCACCGGCUAACGACGUGCCAGCAGCCGCGGUAAUAC